AUAUGGAGUGUACGGGGCAACAGAAGACGAACAGCAGAGGGGGAAAGGGCCAAUAAAUCGGGGUGAUAGUUUGCAGGACUCUAUCCAGAGGGGCAGAUCCCGAGUGGACAGCCAUAUCCUCUGCCCAAGACGGUAGCGGGAGCAGGGGUCCGGUGGCAGUCCGCCUGUCGUUGGUACCUGGAGGUGGUCUUGAGAAGAGCGGCCCGGGCUCUCUUCCAUGUACGGCGACAGCGAUGGACGAACACCUGGGCAGAAGGCAUAUUCCACCAACACGAGUUGCUGGCUCCAUGUGGUGGGAUUAGUGGAGACGAGGCAGUGAAGACUUGUCUCCAGGUCCUGAUUGGCUCGCUCCGACUGGCCAUUGGAAUGGGGAUGAAAACCAGAGGACAGGCUGGCCCACGACCCAUUAAGGAUGCAGAACACCUUCCAGAACUGGGAUGAGAACUGGGGACCACGAUUGGAGACCAGAUCAAACGGCAGUCCAUGGAUCCGGAAGAUGUGCUGCACCAUGAGCUGGGCCGUCUCUUUAGCUGAGGGCAACUUAGGAAGGGGAAUAAAAUGGGCGGCUUUGGAAAACCGGUCUAUCACCGUAAAGAUGGUGGUGUUGCCAUCAUCCUACAUUCAUCAGCUACAUUUAGUUUAGUUAUAUUGUUGGCUGCCGUAAGAGAAAUCCAUCGAUCUAUCUGGCUAACAAGGUAAGCUGAUCGUUCUCUACCUUCACAUAAUACUAGCUCUGUGGUUAUUUGCUGUGCUAAGUUAGCCAAAUGUAGCUAACACCAGCACCUGAGCAAACGGGAAAUAAAUGUUGUCUGAUGAUUUUGUUUAGUGGAUCUGGUAGCAAUAAUUCAAUUUGUGUAUAUAACUUGUUUGUUCAGUUUUUUGGUUGGAUCAAGAAAUAUAAACGUGUCAGUGCAUAUUUUGUGCUAGCUAGACAACUAACUAGCUAGCUACCAAUUAUGGCAUGCUGCAGCGCCAGAUCUGACUGCCUACGGAAUCUGACUGACGGUCGUGCCGAUCUGCAUCACUGACAAACAUUUUGGAAGUUGAUUCGCUGCUUCUCUCCCAUAACACCACCCCAUAGUUACUGUUGCUAUGACGAAUCCGUGCGAGAGAAGGUGUCCGGGGAGAAUCCGGCAAGGUGUUGCAAACUAGUUGAUGGCUAGUACACCCAGCUAGGUUAGAUAAUCUAGCGCGCUGGAUAUGGUGAGAGGCAACAGUGUGUUCUGCUAACUAGCUAGCAACCCGUUUUUUACUGUAUAAAUUAGCUUGAUUUGGUUUGUAUUUAUUUUACUUUUCCAUUUUGAAUAAAGAAGACUCGGUGGCUACUGGCUAGCUCGCACUGGCUCCUAGCCUUGGUAGCUACAUUAACAACAAAGAAGACAUCAACGAAGACUCCUAGUGGGCAGAGUGGGCUCACACCCUACUAGAGGGGAUAACUAUGGAGUUUCAAACAACACUUGAGGGCAUGUUCACUGAGCAAUGAGCGGAUGUAGGAGGAGCUCAUCCUCAUGAAGUUAAUCUACAGUAUAACAGGUGAUACACUGAAACUCUGAUAAGGUAGUGGUUCAGCUGAACAAUGGCAUUGCUGUGUGUGGACAACCCCAGUAGCUCCUCCAGCAGAUGCUGCCCCCUCCUGUCUUCCAGAUGCUGCUGACCAAGCUGCCCACCAUCAAACAGGUGGUUCCUGGCUGAUGAUCUGUCUCCAUAACUGAGAAAAACCGAGGAGGAAUAUCACUUUGUCUCCAAUACUACAGUCGUGGCCAAAAGUUUUGAGAAUGACACAAAAAGCUAUUUUUGUCAGAUGUUACUAUGGAAUACUGAAGUAUAAUUACAAGCAUUUCAUAAGUGUCAAAGGCUUUUAUUGACAAUUACAUGAAGUUGAUGCAAAGAGUCAAUAUUUGCCGUGUUGACCCUUCUUUUUCACGACCUCUACAAUCUGCCCUGGCAUACUGUCAAUUAACUUCUGGGCCACAUCCUGACUGAUGGCAGCCCAUUCUUGCAUAAUCAAUGCGUGGAGUUUGUCAGAAUUUGUGGGUUUUUGUUUGUCCACCCGCCUCUUGAGGAUUGACC